GCCUUUGAGUGUUCUUAUCUUGUCCUGUCUGUCUUUCUGUCCUUAAAGGCAUCAAUUGCGAAGCAAAUACAUAUGAGUGCAUGUCACGGCCCUGUCUUCAUGACGGAGCGGGUACUGAUGCCAUCAGUCACUGCACCUGCCACUGCAGGAGACAGCUUUUUGGAUCACACUGUGACAUAAAUGCAGGUGCUUGCCUCUCAAAUCCUCGCCUGCCGGGAAGGAAUAAAGUUGUGCUCUCCGUUUGUUAAUGUAGCACCGUGCACCAGUCCCUUGUGUAAAGGAAGGCUCGCGGCAGGAGUGUGGACUCACUCGCGUGUGCCUGCGGGGAUCAGCUGACAUGCGCCCUGGGCUGACGGCGGCGGGGAUCUCGGCGAUGCUCCUGGACCUGCUCUGGUCUGCAGGUAAGUGCUUCCGCACGCCCAUGAGGUGUGCACGCC
rnacentral:lncRNA from 1 species